AGCCUUCAUCACAGUAAUUGCUGUGGGCAGGAUUAUUAGCCACUUACCCUCUUCCUACAGCUGGACCAAAGUCACACAAUAUGGAAUGGGUUAGGGAAGGAACAAUGGAAUUUAAGAUGAAGAUUUUA